CGAUUAAGCCAUGCGAGUCGAGAGGGUUCGGCCCUCGGCAGACUGCUCAGUAACACGUGGAUAACCUACCCUUAGGUGGAGGAUAAUCUCGGGAAACUGAGAAUAAUACUCCAUAGAUCUAGGCUGCUGGAAUGCAUCUAGAUCAAAAGCUCCGGCGCCUAAGGAUGGGUCUGCGGACUAUCAGGUUGUAGUCAGGGUAAAGACCUGACUAGUCUACGACGGAUAUGGGUUGUGAGAGCAAUAGCCCAGAGACGAUAUCUGAGACACGAUAUCGGGCCCUACGGGGCGCAGCAGGCGCGAAAUCUUCACAAUGUGCGAAAGCACGAUGAGGGGAUCCCAAGUGCUGGCACGUAAGUGUCAGCUGUUUCUUUGUCUAAAAAACAAAGAGAGGAAGAGCUGGGUAAGACGGGUGCCAGCCGCCGCGGUAAUACCUGCAGCUCAAGUGGUGGCCACUAUUAUUGGGCCUAAAACGUCCGUAGCCGCGUCUUAAUAAAUGCCGGGGUAAAUCGUGUAGCUUAACUAUACGAAUUCCCGGGUAGACUGUUAGACUUGAGACCGGGAGAAGCUAGAGGUACUCCUGGGGUAGAGGUGAAAUUCUGUAAUCCUAGGGGGACCACCAGUGGCGAAGGCGUCUAGCUAGAACGGGUCUGACGGUGAGGGACGAAGCCCUGGGGCGCAAUCCGGAUUAGAUACCCGGGUAGUCCAGGGUGUAAACGCUGCUUGCUUGAUGUUAGUUGGGCUCCGAGCCCAAUUAGUGUCGGAGAGAAGUUGUUAAGCAAGCUGCCCUGGGAAGUACGGCCGCAAGACUGAAACUUAAAGGAAUUGGCGGGGGAGCACAGCAACGGGUGGAGCGUGCGGUUUAAUUGGAUUCAACGCCGGAAAUCUCACCCGGAGGCGACGGUUACAUGAAGGCCAACCUGAUGACUUUGCCUGAUUUUCCCGAGAGGUGGUGGCAUGGCCGCCGUCAGUUCGUACCGUAAGGCGUUCCUGUUUAGUCAGACAACGAACGAGACCCUCAUCUUUGGUGCUACUGGUAAGUCCGC
rnacentral:rRNA from 1 species